rnacentral:rRNA from 1 species
GGAUCCAGACUUUGAUCCUGGCUCAGGAUGAACGCUAGCUACAGGCUUAACACAUGCAAGUCGAGGGGCAGCGGGAUUGAAGCUUGCUUCAAUUGCCGGCGACCGGCGCACGGGUGAGUAACGCGUAUCCAACCUUCCGUACACUCAGGGAUAGCCUUUCGAAAGAAAGAUUAAUACCUGAUGGUAUGAUGAGAUUGCAUGAUAGCAUCAUUAAAGAUUUAUCGGUGUACGAUGGGGAUGCGUUCCAUUAGGUAGUAGGCGGGGUAACGGCCCACCUAGCCAACGAUGGAUAGGGGUUCUGAGAGGAAGGUCCCCCACAUUGGAACUGAGACACGGUCCAAACUCCUACGGGAGGCAGCAGUGAGGAAUAUUGGUCAAUGGACGAGAGUCUGAACCAGCCAAGUAGCGUGAAGGAUGAAGGUCCUACGGAUUGUAAACUUCUUUUAUAAGGGAAUAAACCCUCCCACGUGUGGGAGCUUGUAUGUACCUUAUGAAUAAGCAUCGGCUAACUCCGUGCCAGCAGCCGCGGUAAUACGGAGGAUGCGAGCGUUAUCCGGAUUUAUUGGGUUUAAAGGGAGCGCAGACGGGUCGUUAAGUCAGCUGUGAAAGUUUGGGGCUCAACCUUAAAAUUGCAGUUGAUACUGGCGUCCUUGAGUGCGGUUGAGGUGUGCGGAAUUCGUGGUGUAGCGGUGAAAUGCUUAGAUAUCACGAAGAACCCCGAUUGCGAAGGCAGCACACUAAUCCGUAACUGACGUUCAUGCUCGAAAGUGUGGGUAUCAAACAGGAUUAGAUACCCUGGUAGUCCACACGGUAAACGAUGGAUACUCGCUGUUGGCGAUAUACUGUCAGCGGCUUAGCGAAAGCGUUAAGUAUCCCACCUGGGGAGUACGCCGGCAACGGUGCAACUCAAAUGAAUUGACGG